UGAACUAAUCGUUUAUUAAUAAAAAUCUUGUAAUGAAAUGACGAACUUGAAAUUUCGUAAUCGUAACAAAUAGGAGUAAACAAUAAUAUGAUAAAGAAUACAAUCUUGUGAACUAAUAGUUUAUUCAUUCCCGGUCCGGCCAAAGCCGGAUCAGACUACGUUGACGGGUUUCCUAAGGAACAUGAGCGAAGAAGGUGGCGCGUCUCCAAGCCACGCGCCGACGUAAAAUUGUUAUACAGCCAUGUGCCUUUACCAGCAUGUGAGUCAAAGAGAUCUCCCUUUUAUGCGCCAUAAAAUUGCUUAGAACCUUUAUAUUGUGGUGGACCUCAAACAAAUUGACAGAGAAGCUAUGGUAGGCGAACGUCAUCGAGAGGAUAAUACUCUUUGGAUCUAGACACCGUGUUGAAAGAAAUACACUCAGAUGAAAAGAUAUUCACAUCGAUGAAAACAGAAAAUAAAUGAAGAAUCCAUUGCAGAAAUGAAAAAAAUGAGUUUAGAGAUUUUAAAGACAUAUACGAGAGAGAAAGAGAAUAAGAUUAAUUAUUUGGGAAAGAGAUUUUUUAGAAGAGACACGGAAGAGAAAGGGAGAGAGAUAGAAGGAUUUUGGGCAGGGAUAGUUUUGGGGUUUAAGAAUAUCUAUGAGAUAGUUAGCUAAUUAUGAGUUUUUUCAUCUAUAUGUGACCUAAUUACUCUAAAUAUUUCGAAUAGUAAUCUUCAAUGUUAAAUAUUUUUGUGGUCACAUUAGUUACAAUUAGGAUAAGUUUCUUAGCACUUGAUCAUUGAUUCAACAUAACUGAAUUGUAUUUCUUGUCAUCGAUCAUAGUCAUAGAGAUUAAACCGGAGAUUACAAUGGUGGAGUGGAAAAAAAAUUAACCGUUAAUUUACCAUGGAUAAAUCUCUUUUCAGUGAAGAACAAAUAGAAAAGCAUAUAAAAUUGAUCAUGUCUCGAUUAGAUUAGAGUUUGAGUAAUUAAGAAUUUCUCCUUCUCCAUCGCCAUUAACGUUGCAUCGCAACGAGAGAGAGAACGGUUUCCCACAAUGUGUCUAAAAUUCUGGUUUUUUUUUGCCAUUUUUUUAUUUUCUUCUUUGAAACUAAUCCAGAUGAUUAUAAGCAAAAAAACAUGCCACUUUAAAACAAUUUUGAACAUCUCUAUUGCCAUAAAAUGUAAAUAUUCAGUAUUUAACCUACUAGAUAAAUUACUUUUAAAGUAUGAUUCAAUGAGUAAGCGCUUUUAUGUAAAGUAAAAUGAUAUGUGUUCCCCCACUUCAAAACCCAAGAUGAUAUAUCCUAAACUUUUGGUUUCUUUGUUGCAGUGCAAAUAGAAAUAAUAGUUCCUGAAACAGAGUAUAACGUAAACAAGCUCCAACACAUGUGAACAAGCACACACAUAGACAUUAUUAGUUUUCAAAGUCAAGAAAGGAAAAAAAUUAGAGAAAAUGACUAGGAUAGUACUAAAAAUUUUUUUGUCACAAAUAUAGCCUCUAAAAAUAAAAAUGAUUAAAAUAGCACUUAAUGUUUUAUCCAAUGGUAAAUUAAUUUAAACAUUAGGGUUUAGAGUUAAGGGGUGGGGUUUAGAAUUUAGAAUUUAGGGUUUAGGGUUUAGAGUUUAGGGUUUAGAGUUUAGGGGUGGGGUUUAGGGUUUAGAGUCAAGGGGUGGGGUUUAUGAUUUAUGGUUUAGGGUUUAUGAUUUAGGGUUUAGGGUUUAGAGUUUAGGUUUUAGGAUUUAGAGUUGGGGAAUGGGGUUUAGGGAUAAGAUUUCAAAUUGUGAAAAAAUAAAAAAAAUUUAAAUUUUUCAAAAGAUAAAAUGUUAUUUUGGUCAUUUUAGUUUUUGAUGACUAUUUUUGUGACAUAAACUUAGAAAUGUGGUAUUUUGGAAAUUUGUCCAAAAAAUUAUAUAAUAUGUUGGGGAGAAACACUAAUGUGGAAUGAGAAAGGACUCGAUAAAUCAACCUUUGCAACUUGUUAAGUAGAGAAAAAUCAAUAAACAAAGGAGUUUUUCUUUUUCAGGUUCCUAUCAGAAAACUCCUCCAAUAAGAAGAGUUAGAUAAUUUCCAAGGUUAUGUAAGAGUUGUAGAAAAGACAUACAAUUAUAUUCAUACAUAAUCAACCAGUGAAUAAACGACAUGAUAGGAAAUGAACUUAAUAACAACAAAGUGAGAACACACAAAUAUAGAGUUAUCAAGGCUACAAGCACUCGUUUUACAGAGAUACUGCUUCUCUGCCUCAUCCUCAGAUGAGUGAUGUCACCCUCGAAUUUUCCUGCAGCUUAAUCUUCUCAAAGAGGUACUGCUUCUCUGCAUCAGCCUCACUCAGUCUCUGUUUCACAUAGCUGCUUGCGUAUUCCCCUAAGACUCGUCCAUUUUCGCUAGUACAAACCUCUGAAGUUUCUCAGCUUCCCGCUUUGCUUCGUUCUAACCGCUCCACAUACCUGCCGUUUUUUUUUUUACUGUAGAGGUGACUGAAUCAUCAGGUGACCUCUGCGUCGUGUUGACUUUUGACUCCAUUUGGGGCAAUUGCGAAUACGACAUUGUUGGUAAAAUUUAAGCUUAAUGAGGGAGCAUACACAUGAUAUGGGCCAAUGUGGAUGUGGUAAUGUCAAAAUCAAGGCAGGCUGUUUUUUCCUUUGUGGAUGGGCUUUAAGUUAAUUUUUGAUAGUGGAUUAACAAAGAAAAUUGUAUGCCAUUGUUUUUGUGGUCCAUCACCUAUAAGUUGAUCGCUUUUAACGAAUCUAGACUACAACAAGAAAAGUACAUACAAAGGUAUCCAAUUCAUCACAUUCCUAGCUUUUCUUAUUUACAAUCUAGUUUUAAUUUGAUACGCUAAGUUCUUGCUUUUCGGAUGUCAAUUGUUGGACUAUAGUUUGCAUAUCUAUAUGUAAAAUAUCAUCUAUUAAACUCUAUAUUGUUGGCCAACCAGUGUACUCUUUAAUUUGUUGUUUCACGUUUUUGUAGUAGUCAGUCUUAUAAUUCAUAUGGACUCUAGUGUGCAUACGUAUAUAAAAAUAUCAUCUAUUCAACUUUAUAUUGUUGGGCAGCCAGUGUACUCUUCAAUUUGUUGUUUCACGUUUUUGUGGUAUUCAAUGUAAUAAUUCAUAUGAAUUCUACCAUUAUUACAUGUCUAAGUUAAUAUGUAAUCACCCAACUCAGCUUGAGUUAUCUUUGGCAUGAAAACAGAACCAUUGGAUGGAAUGAAAACAGAACCAUUGGAUACAGACUCUCUCCCCGAAAAAGAUAACACUCCAUUUUGUAUGGUCAUUUCACUGUAUAGCUUCGUCCAUUCCAUUGCAACUAGACUGAUUUCACCGUAUUGUUUGACAACGGUUUUUUUUCUGUUGGUUAAUGAAAAUUCACAUUCCACAACACAAUAAAAUCCAAAUCUUAUCCCUACCAAGUACAUGAGAACAUCCAAACAAAAUUAAACGAAUAAAUUUUUGUUGAUUUUUUGAUGAAAUUAAUUUCUUUUUUUUAAAGAGUAUGGGGAUUUCAUUGUAUACAAAACGGUACUGUAGCACCUUUUUUCUUCCAUUAUCAAAAAGUGUCUUCUCCAGGAAAAAAAAAGAAGUAUUGUUCAAAGAGACAGUAUAAUUUCUCUAAAUAAUUAUAAUUUCUCUAAAUAAUUAUCUAUAUAUUCACGUUAACCAAAGACGUGAAAUUAAUGAUGUUGGAGGUUAGUCUUCUUUUCACAUUAAACCUUUUUUUUCGAACAACUCUUUUCACAUUAAACCAAAAAGUGAAAUAAAUGAAGUGUGAGCUUAUAUUUAUUUUUUAAAGAAAAGAAAAGAAAAGAAAAAGCAGAAGAGACAAAACAGCUACACGUUGGCAGUAUCCAAGGAGAAAAGAUCCCACGUUUAUUAAUACAAAUCUUGUAAUGAAAUGCGAACUUGAAAUUUCGUAAUCGUAACAAAUCGGAGUAAAUAAUACUAAUAUGAUAAAGAAUACAAUCUUGUGAACUAAUCGUUUAUUAAUAAAAAUCUUGUAAUGAAAUGACGAACUUGAAAUUUCGUAAUCGUAACAAAUAGGAGUAAACAAUAAUAUGAUAAAGAAUACAAUCUUGUGAACUAAUAGUUUAUUCAUUCCCGGUCCGGCCAAAGCCGGAUCAGACUACGUUGACGGGUUUCCUAAGGAACAUGAGCGAAGAAGGUGGCGCGUCUCCAAGCCACGCGCCGACGUAAAGGCGCUCGUAGUAGUGAACACAGUAGAGGGAGAGUGAGAGCUGGAGCUGGUCUCGGCUCCAAAUGAUCUUGGGGAGUCGUGCGAGGAC
rnacentral:lncRNA from 1 species